rnacentral:rRNA from 1 species
AGCGAACGUUAGCGGCGGGCCUAACACAUGCAAGUCGAACGCGAAAGGUCUUCGGACUGAGUAGAGUGGCGCACGGGUGAGUAACACGUAGGUAAUCUACCCUUUGGCGGGGGAUAACGUUCCGAAAGGAGCGCUAAUACCGCAUAAGACCACGGAGUCUCCGGACGCUGUGGGAAAAGGUGGCCUCUUCUUGAAAGCUACCACCGAAGGAUGAGCCUGCGUCCCAUCAGCUAGUUGGUAAGGUAAUGGCUUACCAAGGCGAAGACGGGUAGCUGGUUUGAGAGAAUGAUCAGCCACACUGGCACUGGAACACGGGCCAGACUUCUACGGGAGGCAGCAGUGAGGAAUAUUGGGCAAUGGGCGAAAGCCUGACCCAGCCACGCCGCGUGAGUGAUGAAGGCCCUCGGGUCGUAAAGCUCUGUGGAGAGGGACGAAAACCCUGGUUUCAAAUAGGCUCCAGGCUUGACGGUACCUCUUUAGCAAGCACCGGCUAACUCUGUGCCAGCAGCC